AGUGAACGCUGGCGGUAGGCCCAACACAUGCAAGUCGAACGGCAGCACAGUAAGAGCUUGCUCUUACGGGUGGCGAGUGGCGGACGGGUGAGGAAUACAUCGGAAUCUACUUUUUCGUGGGGGAUAACGUAGGGAAACUUACGCUAAUACCGCAUACGACCUACGGGUGAAAGAAGGGGAUCUUCGGACCUUGCGCGAUUGAAUGAGCCGAUGUCGGAUUAGCUAGUUGGCGGGGUAAAGGCCCACCAAGGCGACGAUCCGUAGCUGGUCUGAGAGGAUGAUCAGCCACACUGGAACUGAGACACGGUCCAGACUCCUACGGGAGGCAGCAGUGGGGAAUAUUGGACAAUGGGCGCAAGCCUGAUCCAGCCAUACCGCGUGGGUGAAGAAGGCCUUCGGGUUGUAAAGCCCUUUUGUUGGGAAAGAAAAGCAGCAGGUUAAUACCCCGCUGUUCUGACGGUACCCAAAGAAUAAGCACCGGCUAACUUCGUG
rnacentral:rRNA from 1 species